CCCAGACUCCUACGGGAGGCAGCAGUAAGGGAUAUUGGUCAAUGGGGGAAACCCUGAACCAGCAACGCCGCGUGAUCGAAUGAAGGCCUUCGGGUUGUAAAGAUCUGUUGACAGGGACGAAUAAGCAAUGCGAAUAGUUUUGUGUAUGACGGUACCUGUUUAGAAAGCUCCGGCUAACUACGUGCCAGCAGCCGCGGUAAUACGUAGGGAGCAAGCGUUGUCCGGAAUUACUGGGCGUAAAGGGCGCGUAGGUGGGCGCUUAAGUCAGGUGUGAAAACUCCGGGCUCAACCUGGAGACUGCACUUGAAACUGGGUGUCUUGAGGGCAGGAGGGGAAAGUGGAAUUCCUAGUGUAGCGGUGAAAUGCGUAGAUAUUAGGAGGAACACCAGUGGCGAAGGCGACUUUCUGGACUGUACCUGACGCUGAGGCGCGAAAGCGUGGGUAGCGAACGGGAUUAGAUACCCUUGUA
rnacentral:rRNA from 1 species